rnacentral:rRNA from 1 species
UACGUAGGGUGCGAGCGUUGUCCGGAAUUAUUGGGCGUAAAGAGCUCGUAGGCGGUCUGUCGCGUCGAUCGUGAAAACUUGGGGCUUAACCCUGAGCUUGCGGUCGAUACGGGCAUGACUGGAGUUCGGCAGGGGAGACUGGAAUUCCUGGUGUAGCGGUGAAAUGUGUAGAGAUCGGGAGGAACACCGGUGGCGAAGGCGGGUCUCUGGGCAUCUCCUGACGCUGAGGCGCGAAAGCGUGGGGAGCAAACGGG